GUCGUCCUACGGAGGGCAGCAGUGGGGAAUAUUGCACAAUGGGGGAAACCCUGAUGCAGCGACGCCGCGUGAGUGAAGAAGUAUCUCGGUACGUAAAGCUCUAUCAGCAGGGAAGAAAAAAAGUCUUUGGCUUUGGACGGUACCUGACUAAGAAGCCCCGGCUAACUACGUGCCAGCAGCCGCGGUAAUACGUAGGGGGCAAGCGUUAUCCGGAUUUACUGGGUGUAAAGGGAGCGUAGACGGCAGCGCAAGUCUGGUGUGAAAUGUCGGGGCUCAACCCCGGAAU
rnacentral:rRNA from 1 species